CAAUAGCGUAUAUUAAAGUUGUUGCAGUUAAAAAGCUCGUAGUUGAAUUUCGGGUCCCCGCGCUCGGCGCUUCAUUGUGCCGUCGUGGUGUCCCUCCUCGCCGUAAGGCGUCCUUUACUGUGAAAAAAUUAGAGUGUUCAAAGCAGGCAAUCGCUUGAAUACAUUAGCAUGGAAUAAUAAGAUAGGAUCUUGUCUAUUUUGUUGGUUGCGGACAACGAUAAUGAUUAAUAGGGAUAGUUGGGGGUGUCCGUAUUGAGCUGUCAGAGGUGAAAUUCUUGGAUUUGCUCAAGACGAACUACUGCGAAAGCAUUCACCAAGGAUGGUUUCAUUAA
rnacentral:rRNA from 1 species